ensembl:lncRNA
CUGUCACUGUGGCAGGAUCAGAUUCAGAUGAUGUUAUGAAUGAGCCUGCCUCAUUUAUCAUUGUGUAGUAACAGAUAAUGUUGAGUGAUUCAGGUGAUUUUACAGCUGCCCAUCUGAACACUUCAGCACCAGUGAGCUCGAGCUCACAUGAUGGACUGGUUUUCAUUUUCUUCUCCUCUCUGUUUAUGUAGAAAUCACAUUUAUUCACUGUAACACGUGGUUCUGUCUCACAGCUGAUCUUCACUGAGCUGGACUCUCUUAUGACAUCUGGAGAUACUUUUACUUUAGGAAAUUCUGCAACAAAACAGUUCAAUCAGUCAUUACAUCUCUUUAUAGACCAUGUUUACAUGCAUCAUUUUCCAACUACAGUCCAUGUUUAACCUUUAAACAAACUUAUAAAUGUCUUUACAACAGCACCCAAAUAUACAAUGAAUAGUA